rnacentral:rRNA from 1 species
UGGGGAAUAUUGCACAAUGGGCGCAAGCCUGAUGCAGCCAUGCCGCGUGUGUGAAGAAGGCCUUCGGGUUGUAAAGCACUUUCAGCGGGGAGGAAGGCGAUAAGGUUAAUAACCUCAUCGAUUGACGUUACCCGCAGAAGAAGCACCGGCUAACUCCGUGCCAGCAGCCGCGGUAAUACGGAGGGUGCAAGCGUUAAUCGGAAUUACUGGGCGUAAAGCGCACGCAGGCGGUCUGUCAAGUCGGAUGUGAAAUCCCGGGGCUCAACCUGGGAACUGCAUUCGAAACUGGCAGGCUAGAGUCUUGUAGAGGGGGGUAGAAUUCCAGGUGUAGCGGUGAAAUGCGUAGAGAUCUGGAGGAAUACCGGUGGCGAAGGCGGCCCCCUGGACAAAGACUGACGCUCAGGUGCGAAAGCGUGGGGAGCAAACAGG